UGCACUUCAGCCACCUUUUUUUGCAGUCGGCAAAACACCUCUGGUAGUCUUUUUUCGGGAUUGCCUUCAUGGCCUUCUUCGAUUACACUUUGAUCUUUUCUAUGCUCUGAAAUUUCCGACCCUUUACCUUUUUUUUUUGAGCUUUUCAAAAAGGAAAAAUUUGCCGGGGGCCAAAUCGGGACUGUAGGGGGGUUGGGGGAACACAGAGGUUGAGUGGUCCUGCAGGAACUUCGAGAUUUUGAGAGCUGUGUGCGCCGGCACGUUAUCGUGGUGGAGGAUUCACAACUUGCUCCUCCACAGCUCCGGCCGUUUCUGCCUGAUCGCUUCCCUCAAUCGCCUCAAAACUCCCAGGUAGGAGUCAACAGUUAUUGUAGAGACUUGUUAUUGAAAUUCAUGGUGAACGAUGCCCUGGUAGUCGAAGAACACAGUCAACAUGACCUUGACUUUGCUUGGAGCCGUCCUCAUUUUCUUUGGUCUUGGCUCAUUUUUGAAGCGCCACUCCGGUGCCUGUUAGGUAAUUUCGGCGGUCUCUUCCCGACCCUCCUUGAAGCGCUUGUACCACUCGAAAACUCGUGUUGCAACAUGAAUCCGGGGAAUAAAAACCUCUUCAUUUUGAAAACAACCAGUCAAAAUGGUUGCCUCUACCACAUGAGGCCACAAUCUUUUAACACAGAGACGGGUACCAUUGCAAAGGCGGGGUGCAUCAAUUCCUCAAUAAAAUAAUGGGAACACCAACUCUAAGUUCUAAGUGAUGUGGUGGCAUCCCAGAAGGUUCUAAAGAAUUUAAAAACUGUAGUAUAUUCCACGCAAUCCUCAGCAUCAAUGGUGGAAUCCACAGAAGUAUAUAAAAUGCUUUGCCCUGGUAUUUCUUUUAAAAGCUGAGCAUUUAUGGCAUCAACUACACAAUUCCUUGGAGCCAAAAUUGCCCGCUCACAAAGCCAAGGAUAGUAAUUCGCCCUUCCCCGGUUAAACAUUUCCCCAAUGUUAAAAAAACACUAUUCUUUAGGCCAGAGAGAGAGUCAACAGUGUUACCCAAUUCAUUUGAAAAAUUAACAUUACCAUCCGUAUCAUAAGUUGGCCACUUCCAAGUUGAAGCAAAAAUUUUGAAAAUAACAGUGAGUUAGGAUCUCCUGAAUUGACAGCCCGCAUAUUUGUUGAAAGAGGGGAUGCCUUUAAGCAAGGAUGCAACUCAUCUGCUAUUGUACCUCUAGGGAUAAUGGGCAAUAUCUGCCUGAAGUCACCGGCCAACAACAACACUACACCUACCAUUGGUCUCUGAUCCUGCCUACAAUCUUUAAGUGUUAUAUCAACUGCCUCUAAAGCAUGCCUGUGUGCCAUAGUACAUUCAUCCCAGACAAUAAAUUUGCAUUGUCUAAGAACUUUGCCCAUUGCUGAAUCAGCAUUCAAAUUACAAACUGCUACCUCAUCCCUGGUCAAAUCUAAGGGUAAUUUGAAAGUCGAAUGAGCAGUUCUGCCACCAUACAACAGAGUGGCCGCAAUACCAGAAGAAGCUGUAGAAAAUGCAAUGUCCCCAGUACUUGUACCUUUGUAAGAAGAAGAUUGAUCAGAAAAGUUUUUCCUGUGCCUCCCGGAGCAUCAAGAAAGUACAAUCCGCCAGCAUUGGAAUCAAUUUUAGAAAGGAUCCUUUCGUAAGCCUCCUUUUGUUCAGUGACAUUGGCAAGUUUCGAUUCAUUCGAAGCCACAAAUUGUAGUAACCUGCUGAGAUCAUACGAUGUUUCUCUUAAAAGUUCAUGACUGGUUCGGUGAGUAACAUUGCGCUGUGGGGACCUCAUGCCAAACUUUGUCAAAUGGAAACCAGUCAUUUGCAGAACUUUUUGUUCUGAAAGUAUUAAAGCCUGAUUUGACAUUUCGUAUGUCAGCUGUAAAAGAACGUCAUUGGCUUGCUGUCUGGCAAGAUUCAGAAUAUCUGCAGACAUUGGUUCUUUAAAUUGUGCCCAGAUAUCUUGAGGGUUGGUAGGGUGGCAGCAGGUAAGAAUAAUAGCAAAAAGAUCCCGGAUUUUUAAAGGAGACUCACUUAGCACUGCUUCCUGAAUACAAUGAUGCCAUUGCUGGUCAUUCUCAAGCAAUCCCAAAUGCAGACAUGCCUCUUUAUAUGUUUGACAGAGCACACCAUUGAUUGUUCUGAGGGCUGCAAAAGAAGUCGGACCACGAACACUAUGAAGCAGCAUGCGAAGAUAAAAACAUUCCUCAAAAUUUGGAUGAACGGUGUGACUUUGUAAAAUGUAGUGCCCAAUCAACAUGUCAGCAAAAAAUAAUAAUACUAAAAAAAAAAACUAAUGCCAAAAUAGCCAUGUUAAUAUUUUAGGCUGAUAAAAACCAAAGGGUAUAUGGAUUAUAGACAAACACAUGUUUUGGCUGUUAAAUGAGACAGUAAUUCAUAUUAAAUUUUCACUACAUAUGAGUUUUUUUGUAAAAAUAUUUUUAAAAAAUAAAGGCUAGAACAAAAAUUAAUAAAAAUACAAAAUCCAUUGUGUACAUAGUAACGAUAGGUUUGUAAAGUUUUUUAAAAUUGCAUUUUUGUGUGCACUUACCAUAACUUAGUAAUACGAAUUUCUAUCUCAAUACUUAAUAAUAAAUACUUUUGUAAAAAAAAAGUAACACUCUUAUAAAAAGAUACUUAAAAAAAAAAAAAAAAAGUUGGGCAAGCGAUUUGGAAAAUAUGCAGAACGCUCAUUGGUCGGUUAAUUCGCCUGGUGUUGUCACUUCGCCUCGUAUUUACUGCCGCGCAAAAAAUAGUUCUGGAGAUUCUUUACACUUUAUUAAAACUAUAUCGAACUUUCGAGUAUUUCUGCCUUCCUGCAGGAGUACAUAAAAACGAAUAAACAACGUUAAGAUGCUAAUAAUAUGUACAUUUAAAAAUUAGGAGAGAUUUUGCAUAUUGCUUGAUAUUAGAAUAUUUUUAAGUUAGUUUGUAUUUUUUGCAUAUUGACUAUUGUUUGUUUAAUUUUAAGAAUUAUAUCAUAUUGACUGUAACUUUUAUUUAUUAUAUAUAUAAAAAAAAACAAAGGCCGAACAAAAAUUAAUAAAAAAUACGAAAGCCAUUGUUUACAUACAGUAACGCUAAUUUCGUAAAGUUUUUUUUAAAAUUGUAUUGUGUGCACUUACAGUAACUUAGUAAUAUAAAUUUCUCUCUCAAUACUUUUGUAAAAAAAAGUGACACUCGUAUAAAAGGAUAUUUAAAAAAAAGUUUUAUUUUAUCUUUGGCUCAUGAUAGCAUCCCCGUAGGUUGUUUGCAACAUCCAAAAAAUUUUGGCACUUCGGAUCCUUUUUUCACACAGAACUUGAUGCAAAUUCAUUGAUCCUCCAUGAAAUUUUAUACACAAAUAAUAUAUUAUUGAUUAGAUUACCCAAAAUCAAAGAAUUCUAACACGUAUUUUAUGCAAAUUAGCUGGUCAAGCAAUGAUCUUGCAGUCAGUGCAUAAAUAUCUUGGAUAUUGUUGUUAAUAUGGGGUGUGAUCGCCUUUAACUGAUAGACAGGCUCUACAUCGGUGACCCAUACUAAGAAUUAGGGAGUUUAUCAGCUCCUGUGGAAUCAACGCCCACUCUUGUGUUAAGGCUGUUUCUAGGAGCGGGUUGGAGGGAUGAGAUCUGCCGUCCUAGGUUGUCCCAUACAUGCUCAAUGUGAUUUCGGUCUGGGGAUCGAGCUGGCCAAUUCAUCCGAGGAAUUGCAUGGUUUUGGAGAAAAGUGUCGAUCACACCAGCCGUAUGUGGAUGGGCAUUAUCAUCCUUUAGAAAUAAGUUUUCUCCAUUGAAGGCUGGCAGACGCAGAAGUGUGGUUCCUGCCAGAAUCAGUAACCAGAGUUGCCACCAUUGUUGGAGAUCACCGCUGCCACACGUCUCGGCAUUAAUUCAAAGAGACUUUGGAUGUGUUCUUGGGGUACAGCAGAUCAAGCAGCUUCCACUUGUUGCCAAAGUUGAUCUGGUGUGGCAGCUGGGGAUGUAAUCUGGGUCAAUCGUUGAGCAACCAUGGACCAUAUGUUUCCUAUCGCAAAAGAUCCUGAGAGCGAGCCGGCCAGGGAAGCAAUUCAAUCUGGCGAUUGACGAAGAACCUUAGGACAAUGCGUGCGACAUGUGGUCGUGCAUUAUCCUAUUGAAAUAUGGCUCCGGACAAGUCUUGAAGGUAAGUAAGGACAACAGGUUCCAACACCUCGGAGAUGUAGCGUUGGCUGUUUAAAGUACCGGCUGUUGUAUUUUAGUCUGUUCGUAAGUUUCCUUUUCAUCUGGCAAGUUGAAAAUAUACGUUGUACAUUUGGCCCUAAACAAUAAAAUAGAGUAGCUCUCUUAAUUUCAUCAGAAUUUUUUGAAAUUCCAGAUGCUAUUUCAAAAAUGGCAUAGGAUUCCAUCCAUUUCUUAUAUACCGCAAAUAAAUUGCUAGCAUUCAAAUUCAUGGGUAAAGGUGCCGUCAGGUUGGCUGCCAUACUUCAGGGCUACAGUUAAAUUUUCAAAUCUCGUCGCCAAUUUAUGUUGUAUAGUUAUUAUUUAAUUUAUUAAUUAAACAUUAGUCACAAGAUGAAAUUAUUUAAUUUCAAAUAUAUAUAUUUAAAAGGUUACAGUUAUUUUAUUUUUACUAUUUAUUUAUUUAAAUCCAAUGUUUACGCUUCAUAAUAAUAUAUAUUUAUCUUUAAACACACAGAAUACUACACCGGCAAUGUGUACUAGAGGAGUGCGAGUGUGAUAUCCAAUACCGUCCCAUACCAUAAUACCCGGUGCAGGACUAGUGUGGCGGUGCAUAACGCAGCUGUUCAGCAUCCUCUCUCCAAGGUGUCUCCAGACUCAAUCCGACCAUCAAUGUUGAAAUGGUGGAGGCAUUCAAUGUUUUGAUGCCUGUUCUGGCAUUCUAUGGUCACGAUGAGAUGGUGGAGGGAUUCAAUGUUUUGAUGCCUGUUCAGGCAGUCUUAUGUACACGAUGAGAUGGUGGAGGGAUUCAAUGUUUUGAUGCCUGUUCAGGCAUUCUAUGCAUAUGAUGAGAGGGUGGAGUCAUUCAAUGUUUUGAUGCCUGUUCAGGCACUCUAUGGUCAUGAUGAAAUGGGGGAGGCAUCCAAUGUUUUGAUGCCUGUUCUGGCAGUCUUAUGUACAUGAUGAGAUGGUGGAGGGAUUCAAUGUUUUGAUGCCUGUUCAGGCAUUCUAUGCAUAUGAUGAGAUGGUGCAAUUCAAAACAUUGAUAUUUAUUUGUGCGUUUCACUAAAAAUUAAUUGUUACAGGGGAGGAAAAAGGGUUGACAGACUCCUUUGCAGCAACGGGACCCGAAAAAGCAACGGGCUCCAUCCGGUCGCACUACGCAUCCUUUGGGUCCACAAGUUACAACACAAGAUUUAAAGGGAGCAAAUACUUCAAAAUCAAAGCGAGUCUUGCAAAUUUGGCCAUCGUUCAUUAUAUCUUCGUUCUUAGUGGUGUUAUCACAUUGCUGACCCCAAAAAAGCAAGAGGCUCCAUCAGGUCGCACUACGCAUCCUUUGGGUCCACAAGUUACUACACAAGAUUUAAAUGGAGCCAGGAUCUUGACCACUCUAGGCAUCCGAUGUUAUGAUGCCUGUUCUGGCAGUCUUAUGUACACGAUGAGAUGGUGGAGGCAUUCAAUGUUUUGAUGCCUGUUCUGGCAGUCUUAUGUUCAUGAUGAGAUGGUGGAGGGAUUCAAUGUUUUGAUGCCUGUUCAGGCAUUCUAUGCAUAUGAUGAGAUGGUGGAGUCAUUCAAUGUUUUGAUGCCUGUUCUGGCAGUCUUAUGUUCAUGAUGAAGUGGUGGAGGCAUUCAAUGUUUUGAUGCCUGUUCAGGCAGUCUUAUGUUCAUGAUGAAGUGGUGGAGGCAUCCAAUGUUUUAAGGAUGUAUUUUGCCUGUUAGGUGGCCUUUGAAUAAAGAUAAUUCUUGGGCUAAUGGAGCAUUGGUAUAAAAUCUGUCAGUGUAUAUGUGCAUGCCAUUUAGGUCUGAAUAUUUGAUUAUGAUGUUUUGGAAUAAAGAAAAAACUAUUCUAGAAGUAAGCUAUAGAUCAGGUAGUAUUAGAGAGUCUAUAGUAAGUUUGCCCUAAUAAGGAAUAAAUAACUUUGAUUCAGCAGCAACAUAUACCCUCAACCCCCAUUUUCUUUGUUUUUGAGGGUUAUAGGUUUUGAAUGAUAUUUGUAUCCUACAGUUGAUUCAUCUAUUGCUAUAUUUUUGAUGGUUUGAAAAUAGAGAUUUAUUGCUUGAAUAGGAAAGAUAAUUUUGGGUCCAAUUAUGAGCAGGAGUAGGUUCUGAAAGGUGAAGCAUCCAAAAUUUUGGUGAAAAUCUUUGAUGGGUGAAACCUUUUGGAAAACAUUCUUGAGUAGUUAAAAAAUCAGUAGCCCAAUAAUCUUUCAGAUUUGGCAAAAUUACUAAAUCCAUAUUUAUAAUAAGUCUGAUAAAGGCCUUCAUUUCAUCUAGUUUUCUUGGUUGCUGAGUUGAAGUACAAUGAGAUUGUAUUUGUGGGGUAAACCUCUUAUAACUGAAGUGAUAAACUCUUUGUCUUCAAUAUCAGCGCCUAGAUUUCUGGCAUGUUCCAAAGGUCUUUCUGCUCUGUAGAGAUAAUCUUCCCAUUUUUCUUCCUUUUUCAUUAUUAAUCUAGAAAUGUAAUUUCUAGCUUCAAUUAUUAUCUUCCUUUUAUCGCCCUCAUAUCUGGCAUGUAGAGCUUUCCAAAUUUCCUUGCUAGUUUUACAUGUUAAAAUCAAGGCAACUAAGGAAUCAGUCAUCGAACAGGUAAGAAUACCUUUGGCUUGUACGUCCUUUUUUUUUUACAUUCUUUAAACUUUUCUUCUUUUUUCGGUGGAUCAGCUUACAAAAUGGCGUCCAAUUCUUUUCCUCCCAGAAUUGAAAUAAUUCGGAAUUUCCAAGAGGCGAAAUUUUUGCCAUCAAAUUUUGGUAUUUGCACAUUACUCUCCAUUUUCUGAAGAUAUUCCUUUACCUUUUCGGUAAUCAACUUUCCUUUGAAUUCCAAAGAAGUUAGUCUUUUGUGACGCAAGGCCUUUUUUAGGCGCAGUGGAAGCGUGGUUGGGUCCAUAACCAUUGUUGGUUUUUGUGGGUGUUUAAAUGGGAAGAUAGGGAUCACGUCAAUUAUAUAAUCAUUAAAAUAUUUAUUAACAUAUAAAAUUAAAAGAAAGGAUAUAUAAGAGCCACGUAAAGUAUCUGUUCUUGCCUGUUCUUCUUUUUUUCUUCUUUCAUAGAAUAUUACACUGGUGUCCAAAAAAUAAGAAACUUAACCAAUAUUGAAAUUUCUCAAAAGCUAAUUUAUUAACAAAUAUAAAAUUUAGUAUACAAAUAGUUUAAACUAUGGAGAAUUUGACUAGCUAUAUGAAAAUUAAAAAAAAAAUUUGAAAUAUGCAAAUUAUUACCAACAUACCCAAAGCUAAGGUUCCAGAUCUUAAAGAAACAAGAUAUCAAUAGGGAGUAUGAUCACCUCUAACAGCUAUCAAGGUCUCACAGCGAGCCCUCAUACUGUUUACCAGGCUUUGGAGGAGGUCCAGGGGUAGUAAACCCCACUCCUCCAAUAGAGCAGUUCUUAGCUCAACGAGGGUUCUGGGAGAGGGGUGACGAGCUCCAAUACGCCUCCCUAGAGCAUCCCACACAUGCUCUAUUGGAUUCAGGUCCGGAGAUCUGGCUGGCCAAUCCAUCCUUCGAAUAUUCUCACUCUGGAGAUAUUCAUUGACUAGCCUAGCCCUAUGCGGAUGAGCAUUAUCGUCCAUUAAAAUUAAAUUGUGACCAAUUUGAUCUCUAUAAGGUCUUAGAUAGGGCUCAAGGAUCUCGUCCCUGUACCUUUGGGCAGUUAAAGUGCCCCCAGAAAAAAUGUGGAGGGGUGUGCGACUGCUAGAACUGAUGCCAACCCAGACUAAGAGACUGCCCCCUCUAAAACUGUCUAUUUCCCUGAUGUUACUGGGAUGAUAGCGGGUUCCAGGCUCCCUCCAGAUGAAAACUCGUCGAGAAUCUGUGUUUAAAGUAUUGAGCCAUGUAUCUCGCCUGGUCGGAACUUGCAUCAGACUUAAUUAGGUAAUGUAGUAGGAGCCUUGUAUCCUCGGGCUUUGCUCUUUUUGUUUUGUCGAGAUAACAUUUGAAUACACCAGAUUGGAGAACUGAAAUUGCUAUAUCCUGAAUCAGCCCUAGCAUGUGUGGGUGCUGAUCAAAACCCAUCUCCUGGCCAAGGGUUAUGUAUGCAUAGUGUUCAGACUCCACUUUUCCAUAUAACCUUUGAACUUUCGGGUCAGCUGGUGACUUAUUAUGAGAAUGAGCAUAAACCAGGGCUUUUGGGCAGUAGGGCUCAAGGGUGCAAUUAGGCCACCUCUUGUGAGUUGCAAUAAAUGUCUUUAUAUACCUUUCCUUGCUCGCUGAUACACAAAACGCAAUGUCCUUAAGGGGAACAUCAAAUGGCUUUAAAGUUCUGUUAAGCAUCUUAACUGCACCUCCUACAAGGUCUGUGUAUGGGUGGCCUGUUAUCUCUGCCAGAGAUGCCAUUUCAAGCCCUAGAGCGGGAUCCAUGUUAUUCAGAUAGUUACAUAUGUCGACAAAAGGGCCUUAACUCUCAUUAAAUUUCGAUCUUAAAUUCUCCAUUAUUGUUGUUACGCUUCAUGCUUUCUAUUGAUAUUUAUUCCGAUAGAUGGCGCCAGCCAUCAGCAACUUUUAGUUGCACGAUAAGGAGAUGCCUUUUUCUUAUAUUUAUCUUUAAACACACAGAAUACUACACCGGCAAUGUGUACUAGAGGAGUGCGAGAGUGAUAUCCAAUACCGUCCCAUACCUAAUACCCGGUGCAGGACUAGUGUGGCGGUGCAUAAGGCAGCUGUUCAGCAUCCUCUCUCCACGGUGUCUCCAAAAAAAUUUCAAACCACUUCAAAACCCUCCACCCAAAUUUGAGGCGAAAAAUGCCAUUUUCAAGAGUCGAUUGAAUUUUUAAUUUUUUAAAUGAUAAAGAAUCAUUGAUGCCAAAUAAUCUAUUUUAUGAUGAGAUGGUGGAGGCAUUCAAUGUUUGAUGUCUGUUCAGGCAUUCUAUGGUCAUCAUGAGAUGGUGGAGGCAUUCAAUGUUUUGAUGCCUAUUCAGGUACUCUAUGGUCAUGAUGAGAUGGUGGAGGCAUUCGAUGUUUGAUGUCUUUCAGGUACUCUAUGGUCAUGAUGAGAUGGUGGAGGCAUUCAAUGUUUUGAUGUCUGUUCAGGCAUUCUAUGUAAUGAUGAGAUUGUGGAGGCAUUCAUGUUUGAUGCUUUCUGUUUUGAUGUCUGUUCAGGCAUUCUAUGGUAAUGAUGAGAUUGUGGAGGCAUUCAAUGUUUUGAUGCCUAUUCAGGUACUCUAUGGUCAUGAGAUGGUGGAGGCAUUCAAUGUUUUAAUGUCUUAUCAGGCACUCUAUGAUCAUGAUGAGAUGGAGGCAUUCAAUGUUUUGAUGCCUAUUCAGGUACUCUAUGGUCAUGAUGAGAUAAUGGAGGCAUUCAAUGUUUUGAUGCCUAUUCAGGUACUUUAUGGUCAUGAGAUGGUUGAGGCAUUCAAUGUUUUAAUGUCUGAUCAGCACUCUAUGAUCAUGAUGAGAUGGAGGCAUUCAAUGUUUUGAUGUCUGUUCAGGUACUCUAUGGUUAUGAUGAGAUGGUGGUUAAACUUGACUUAUGCAAAUUUCAAAGCAAAAAUUAAUUAAUCAGGUACCUCAAAGGUGGCACCCUACUAUUUCUAAAUAUAAAUUUCAAUAAAUUUUGACUAAUAUGAAUUUAGAGAUAGUUUAAAUGAAAUUAAGUCAAUAUUUACCAAUAAUUGCAGAGCGAGGCGACGCACGUCCACCUUCAACAGCGUUGCCGAGUAUAUUUGUUCGAUUCCGGUCCUCCAUUGACUUAGCUGCGAAGAAUGUGGGCUCAGUUUUUAGCUCCUUCUCCUUAGGUAUCAAUCUAACCACCAUAUAGUCCAAUAGCACAUCCAUAUCCGGAUCACUUGCGCAGUAUUGAGCCAUGUAUCUCGCCUGGUCGGAACUUGCAUCAGACUUAAUUAGGUAAUGUAGUAGGAGCCUUGUAUCCUCGGGCUUUGCUCUUUU